GUGGGGAAUUUUGGACAAUGGGCGCAAGCCUGAUCCAGCAAUGCCGCGUGCAGGAAGAAGGCCUUCGGGUUGUAAACUGCUUUUGUACGGAACGAAACGGUCCUGGUUAAUACCUGGGGCUAAUGACGGUACCGUAAGAAUAAGCACCGGCUAACUACGUGCCAGCAGCCGCGGUAAUACGUAGGGUGCAAGCGUUAAUCGGAAUUACUGGGCGUAAAGCGUGCGCAGGCGGUUUUGUAAGACAGGCGUGAAAUCCCCGGGCUCAACCUGGGAAUUGCGCUUGUGACUGCAAGGCUGGAGUGCGGCAGAGGGGGAUGGAAUUCCGCGUGUAGCAGUGAAAUGCGUAGAUAUGCGGAGGAACACCGAUGGCGAAGGCAAUCCCCUGGGCCUGCACUGACGCUCAUGCACGAAAGCGUGGGGAGCAAACAGGAUUAGAAACCCUUGUAGUCC
rnacentral:rRNA from 1 species